UGUUUUUUAGGGUUUUUUUUUUUUUUUUUUGAGAUGGAAUCUCACUCCAUCAUCCAGGCUGGGGUGCAGUGGUGCAAUCUCGGCUCACUGCAAACCUUCACCUCCCCAGUUUAAGCAAUUCUUCUGCCUCAGCCUCCCGAGUUGCUGGGACUAUAGGCACAUGCCACCACUCCUGGCUAAUUUUUGUAUUUUUAGUAAAGACAGAGUUUCCCCAUGUUGGCCAGGCUGGUCUCGAACUCCUGAUCUCAAGUGAUCUGCCCAACUCAGCCUCCCAAAGUGCUGGGAUUACAGACAUGAGCCAAUGCACCCAGCCCAAAUUUCCCCAUUUUAUAAGACAACAUUUAUAUUGGAUUAGGGACCCACCCAAUCCCAGUAGGACCACAUCUUAACUAAUUACAUCUGCAAGAACUCUAUCUCCAAAUAAGAUCACAUGCUGAGUACUGGGGGUUAGGGCUUCAACAUGUAAAUUUUGGAAGGGACACAGUUAAACCUUAACACCAGGUUUAAGGACAUUUUCCCAGAGCUAGCCCCAGCCAUGCUCAGUCUUUUCUGGAAGGUUCCAGACAAUAUCGCCUCCUGCUCUGGAAUCUAGGCCUUGAAGAGGCAGCAGAAGCCCACCUCUUAUCCACCUCCAGGAGGUGGGCUUCUGGGGGUUCCUGGACAUACACGUCCACCACAGCACAGACCCCCAUACCUCCCUGUCCUCUGCUCCCCAGAAACAAACUGAAGCGCUGAAGCAGCGGGUGCAGAGGAAGCUGGAGCAGGUGUACUACUUCCUGGAGCAGCAAGAGCAUUUCUUUGUGGCCUCACUGGAGGACGUGGGCCAGAUGGUUGGGCAGAUCAGGAAGGCAUAUGACACCCGCGUAUCCCAGGACAUCGCCCUGCUCGACGCGCUGAUUGGGGAACUGGAGGCCAAGGAGUGCCAGUCAGAAUGGGAACUUCUGCAGGACAUUGGAGACAUCUUGCACAGGUACAGCGAGGUCCUGUGGUGUACCCUGGGGUGUCUUGCAGAAAGCAUUUGGGGGAGACAGUCCCGGAAGGGACCUGGGAGGGAGAUGUUCCCAACCCCGGGGUCUGUGAUUCCA
rnacentral:sRNA from 1 species